GAUGAACGCUGGCGGCGUGCCUAAUACAUGCAAGUCGAGCGAACAGACGAGGAGCUUGCUCCUCUGACGUUAGCGGCGGACGGGUGAGUAACACGUGGAUAACCUACCUAUAAGACUGGGAUAACUUCGGGAAACCGGAGCUAAUACCGGAUAAUAUAUUGAACCGCAUGGUUCAAUAGUGAAAGACGGUUUUGCUGUCACUUAUAGAUGGAUCCGCGCCGCAUUAGCUAGUUGGUAAGGUAACGGCUUACCAAGGCAACGAUGCGUAGCCGACCUGAGAGGGUGAUCGGCGACACUGGAACUGAGACACGGUCCAGAGUCCUACGGGAGGCAGCAGUAGGGAAUCUUCCGCGAUGGGCGAAAGCCUGACGGAGCAACGCCGCGUGAGUGAUGAAGGUCUUCGGAUCGUAAAACUCUGUUAUUAGGGAAGAACAAAUGUGUAAGUAACUAUGCACGUCUUGACGGUACCUAAUCAGAAAGCCACGGCUAACUACGUG
rnacentral:rRNA from 1 species